GAUGAACGCUGGCGGCGUGCCUAAUACAUGCAAGUCGAGCGAACAGAUGAGGAGCUUGCUCCUCUGACGUUAGCGGCGGACGGGUGAGUAACACGUGGAUAACCUACCUAUAAGACUGGGAUAACUUCGGGAAACCGGAGCUAAUACCGGAUAAUAUAUUGAACCGCAUGGUUCAAUAGUGAAAGACGGUUUUGCUGUCACUUAUAGAUGGAUCCGCGCCGCAUUAGCUAGUUGGUAAGGUAACGGCUUACCAAGGCAACGAUGCGUAGCCGACCUGAGAGGGUGAUCGGCCACACUGGAACUGAGACACGGUCCAGACUCCUACGGGAGGCAGCAGUAGGGAAUCUUCCGCAAUGGGCGAAAGCUUGACGGAGCAACGCCGCGUGAGUGAUGAAGGUCUUCGGAUCGUAAAACUCUGUUAUUAGGGAAGAACAAAUGUGUAAGUAACUAUGCACAUCUUGACGGUACCUAAUCAGAAAGCCACGGCUAACUACGUG
rnacentral:rRNA from 1 species